CCUACGGGAGGCAGCAGUGAGGAAUAUUGGUCAAUGGCCGGAAGGUUGAACCAGCCAAGCCGCGUGAAGGACGCAGGUGCCAAGCAUUGUAAACUUCUUUUGUCAAGGGACAAAAUCAGGCUCGAGCGCCUGACCGAGGGUACUUGAAGAAAAAACAUCGGCUAACUCCGUGCCAGCAGCCGCGGUAAUACGGAGGAUGCGAGCGUUAUCCGGAUUUCUUGGGGUUAAAGGGUGCGUAGGCGGACUGUUAAGUCAGCGGUAAAAGCCCGGGGCGCAACCCCGGCGAGCCGUUGAAACUGGCUGUCUUGAGAUGUCGAGAGGUAUGCGGAAUGCGCAGGGGAGCGGGGAAAUGCUUAGAUAUUGCGCAGAACUCCGAUUGCGAAGGCAGCAUACCGGCGGCGAUCUGACGCUGAGGCACGAAAGCGUGGGUAUCGAACAGGAUUAGAUACCCGAGUAGUC
rnacentral:rRNA from 1 species